AAUACGUUCCCGGGCUUGUACACACCGCCCGUCAAGUCACCUGAAUUGUCUUCACCCGAAAUCCGUGGCCUAACCGCAAGGAAGGAGCGGCCGAAGGUGAGGGGGUAAGGGGACU
rnacentral:rRNA from 1 species